rnacentral:tRNA from 1 species
GGGGUUGUGGCUCAGUGGUAGAGCCCUCAGCUAGCAUGUGCGAGGCCCUGGGUUCAAUCCUCAGCACCACA